GCCUACAGCCAUACCACCCUGGCAACACCCGAUCUCGUCUGAUCUCGGAAGAUAAGCAGGGUCGGGCCCGGUUAAUACUUGGAUGGGAGCACCUUCUGGGAAUACCAGGUGCUGUAGGCU
rnacentral:rRNA from 1 species